CACGUAGGGGGCGAGCGUUGUCCGGAUUUAUUGGGCGUAAAGAGCGUGUAGGCGGCCAGGUAGGUCGGUUGUGAAAACUGGAGGCUCAACCUUCAGAGGUCGACCGAAACCAUCUGGCUAGAGCCCGGGAGAGGAGAGUGGAAUUCCUGGUGUAGCGGUGAAAUGCGCAGAUAUCAGGAAGAACACCCGUGGCGAAAGCGGCUCUCUGGAACGGUACUGACGCUGAGGAGCGAAAGCAUGGGGAGCGAACAGG
rnacentral:rRNA from 1 species